GAUUUUUUUCUUAUCCAAAUCAUGUUGAGGUCAUCGGGAGCUUGUACGCAUGCGGUCUGAUUACACGCACCCUUGAGAUUAGACCUUUCUACAUCGAUUGCUAGUGAAAUGUGGGCACGUCCAGAGAGUAUGGCAACCUCUCCUGGAACAGUUCGCUUCACAGUGGACAUGCAGAAGGAUUCUUUUAGUGGUUUUGGUAACCUUGGAGAAACAAGUUACAGCAACCAUCAGCCCAGGCGACAAAUUUGCAAGCAGGCCAGGGUGCAGGCGGGAGGAUCUGAUCUGAGAGAGGACAAAAGACUCGGCUCACGCUGCAGAGCGCUGUGGCUGAUCCUUUUGUAUGCAAGACCAGCAGACUUGCCUGAAACAGGAACCUUGGAGGUAAAUCAGGCUAAUGAAGCAGCUCAGAGAGGCAAUGUGCAUUAUUUUGUAUCCCACAAUGAUUUUAAAGUCAACACACAUGCAGUACCGAGUAUUUUGAAGCCUAAGAUACCUGUAGGAGAUCCAAGAGAAGGCGGUUCAUCUAGUCUCCUCAGUGCUUUCAUUUAACUGAUAGCAAUUAGCUCUCUUUUCAUAGUGAGAAAUACAGGAACCAUUUCACUCUCUGGAUAAAUUUUAUCUAGGCAAGAAAUUAUGUUAUGACAGUUGCUAUCCGUGAUGCUAAAAUGCUUUUAUUAGGACAAUUACAGCUCUUUUUACUCUAGGCUGAAAGAGAAAGUGAAAAGCUAGCUUUGCUAGAGAGAAGGCACUUUGUUAGGAAUGGCCUUUUGCUGCAAAAAGAUCAGAGUUUUCUGGAUUAAUCUUUGGAUUAUAUAGAUUUUCC
rnacentral:lncRNA from 1 species